rnacentral:lncRNA from 1 species
CAUAAACUUUGGCCUCAUCUUCUUUUCAGUAAAUUGAAACUAUCUUCCCAUGCGCUAUAGCCCGUACAUUACUUCUUGAUCUUGAUGCUGCUGUUUUAGGUUGGACAUCUGUUUAGUCCCAAACAAGUGUCCCAGUCACCUGAUUCCAUGCUCUCUCUACAUCAGGAUUUCUCUUGAUUCUAGGCCAGUAUAAGAAAAUACUAUCUUUUUAUAGGACUGGACUACCAUCUCUGCAGUCACUGAGCUCAUCCUCUUUCCUGAGGUAUGCUUUGCUCAAUUUUCCAAAUACAUACCUGAAGACAUCUCAUAUGCUGACCUUCCACAUGUAGUUCUAGACCUUCAGAUAUGAAAUGGUAGUUCCUAAAGUUCCACACAUCCAUAAAAGCAGUGUUUCUCCCUCUGGGCUUGAGAAGAACUUGUGUUACUCUAUGCUUUCAAUAUGUUCAGCUCAAGCCCAUCUCUGAUCAAAUGCAAAAAGGUGCUUUCCAGCAUGCAUGGGAAGAUCCCUCUCAUAAGCUAUGCUUUCUCUGAGGAUGUGUCUGAAGAUGUCUCUACAAUGAAUGUCUCCCUGUAAUGUUCCCGAGAAGAAAAUUGUAUGCUACUUUGACACUCGGUUUCUAGCUUAGAGUUGCAGGAGAAAGGCUGAAAGAUCCAUCUCCCUCUUGAAGCUGGAUGGAUGAACUGAAGCGGCAGACAGAGCCUGGAGGGAGAAAAGAAAGAACUGGGACACAUGGGCCAUCAUGGGGAAAGGACACACUCUGUCUGUGGCUUGGUAACAGAGGCAGCAGCAGAAGCACGGUGCACGCAGAUUGUAAGUGGAUUUGAAUAUGGUCUCUUGAAAAAUAUGAGAUAGCGCACAAUAUGUUUUCCUCGGUGCCGUAAUGUAUUUCAAACAGCUCACUUCCAUCUCCUGCACUUUAAUUAGCAUGAAAAUUGGCCAGUUCCACAAUCCCUUUAAAUACAUUCAGUGUGUUACCAAAUAUAUUUCAAAAGCAGUUACACACAGG